rnacentral:rRNA from 1 species
UGGGGAAUCUUGCACAAUGGGCGCAAGCCUGAUGCAGCCAUGCCGCGUGAGUGAUGAAGGCCCUAGGGUUGUAAAGCUCUUUCAGUGGGGAAGAUAAUGACGGUACCCACAGAAGAAGCCCCGGCUAACUCCGUGCCAGCAGCCGCGGUAAUACGGAGGGGGCAAGCGUUGUUCGGAUUUACUGGGCGUAAAGGGCGCGUAGGCGGGGUAUCCAGUUAGGGGUGAAAGCCCGGGGCUCAACCUCGGAACUGCCUUUAAAACUGAUACUCUAGAGUCCGGAAGAGGGUCGCGGAAUUCCCAGUGUAGAGGUGAAAUUCGUAGAUAUUGGGAAGAACACCGGUGGCGAAGGCGGCGACCUGGUCCGGUACUGACGCUGAGGCGCGAAAGCGUGGGGAGCAAACAGGAUUAGAUACCCCCGUAGUCC